rnacentral:rRNA from 1 species
CACUGGAAACGGUGGCUAAUACCCCGGAUGUCAUUGCAUUUAGAAAGCAAUGUCUGAAGCUCCGGCGCUUCGAGAGGGGCCUGCGGCCCAUCAGCUAGUUGGCAGGGUAACGGCCUACCAAGGCGAAGACGGGUAGGGGGCCUGAGAGGGUGACCCCCCACACGGGCACUGAGACACGGGCCCGACUCCUACGGGAGGCAGCAGUAAGGAAUAUUGCCCAAUGGGCGCAAGCCUGAGGCAGCAACGCCGCGUGCCCGACGAAGGCCUUCGGGUUGUAAAGGGCUUUUCUGGCUGAAGAGCGAGGACAGUAGGCCAGGAAGAAGAGUCGGCUAACUACGUGCCAGCAGCCGCGGUAAAACGUAGGACUCAAGCGUUAUCCGGAUUUACUGGGCGUAAAGGGCGGGCAGGCGGGCCGGCAAGUCUGACGUGAAAGCUCCUGGCUUAACCGGGAGAGGCCGUUGGAAACUGCCGGGCUGGAGGGCAGUAGAGGGGCGUGGAAUUCCGGGUGGAGUGGUGAAAUGCGUAGAGAUCCGGAGGAACACC